rnacentral:rRNA from 1 species
UACGUAGGGGGCAAGCGUUGUCCGGAUUUACUGGGCGUAAAGGGCGUGUAGGCGGCCACGCAGGUCCGUUGUGAAAACUGGAGGCUCAACCUCCAGCUGUCGACGGAAACCGUAUGGCUAGAGUCCGGAAGAGGAGAGUGGAAUUCCUGGUGUAGCGGUGAAAUGCGCAGAUAUCAGGAAGAACACCCGUGGCUAAGGCGGCUCUCGUAGUACGGUACUGACGCUGAGACGCGAAAGCGUGGGGAGCGAACAGGAUUAGAUACCGUAG